CUGGCUCUGCACAGGACAACCCAAACUGUCACCCCAUAAGAGGGUUACGCCCUCCUGUGUUAACAGGCAUUUCCAAAUAUCGUCAGGAACGUUUUCAUUGUGCCUUCCUCUCUUUUUCCUGUUAUAAGCACCUUUGGAGUUAUAUGCUUAAAUCUACUCGUGAAAUUAGCAGAUAUUCUCAUUAGACGCUGAUGACAAAUCUACAUACAACCUUAUUUUUCCUUUUGCCACUACGUACAAUCUUACUUCUUUCCUUUUGCCAGUGAAGGCUGGUGUGAGAUGUCCACACAGUCAGCAGUCUUGCUCCGGAAUGGAAGGAAGCAGCAGAAGCUGGCAACAGGAAUGGGUUUUUAACGAGCUGAAUUCUAUGGACGUGUUGUUAGAUGCUCCUGAGCUUUUUACUGUAAACAGAGCAAAGUGUUUGGACUUUUUAGCAAUUAUUUAGAAGAAAAUCAGUGACAGACUGGGACUCUUGUGAAGGAAAGACAUGAGGGGAAUGGAGAGACGUUCAUGAAGCACAUGAAUGCAAAGCAGCAAGAAAAAAGAGAGACCUCUUGAUAAACUACAAGAAAGACCUUUCUACAAAUAGUUGGCAGAUUUUUUGUCUGGAAUUAUUUUAUUUGAUCAAUAA